UACGUAGGGUGCGAGCGUUGUCCGGAAUUUAUUGGGCGUAAAGAGCUCGUAGGCGGUCUGUUGCGUCCGCUGUGAAAACCCGGGGCUUAACCCCUGGCUUGCAGUGGAUACGGACAGACUAGAGGUAGGUAGGGAGAAUGGAAUUCCCGGUGUAGCGGUGAAAUGCGCAGAUAUCGGGAGGAACACCGGGUGGCGAAGGCGGUUCUCUGGGCCUUACCUGACGCUGAGGAGCGAAAGCGUGGGGAGCGAACAG
rnacentral:rRNA from 1 species